UACGGGGGGGGCAAGCGUUGUUCGGAAUUACUGGGCGUAAAGGGCUCGUAGGCGGCCAACUAAGUCAGACGUGAAAUCCCUCGGCUUAACCGGGGAACUGCGUCUGAUACUGGAUGGCUUGAGUUUGGGAGAGGGAUGCGGAAUUCCAGGUGUAGCGGUGAAAUGCGUAGAUAUCUGGAGGAACACCGGUGGCGAAGGCGGCAUCCUGGACCAACACUGACGCUGAGUGAGCGAAAGCCAGGGGGAGCAAACGGG
rnacentral:rRNA from 1 species